rnacentral:rRNA from 1 species
GUCGUCAGCUCGUGUCGUGAGAUGUUGGGUUAAGUCCCGCAACGAGCGCAACCCUUAUUGUUAGUUGCCAUCAUUUAGUUGGGCACUCUAGCGAGACUGCCGGUGACAAACCGGAGGAAGGUGGGGAUGACGUCAAAUCAUCAUGCCCCUUAUGACCUGGGCUACACACGUGCUACAAUGGGAAGUACAACGAGUCGCGAAGUCGCGAGGCUAAGCUAAUCUCUUAAAGCUUCUCUCAGUUCGGAUUGUAGGCUGCAACUCGCCUACAUGAAGCCGGAAUCGCUAGUAAUCGCGGAUCAGCACGCCGCGGUGAAUACGUUCCCGGGUCUUGUACACAC